AAGUCCCUGCCGUGUUCGUGACACGACCAUACAUUCCUUGAACCAAUGCUUUUGGCAUACAGGUUGUUGGAUUAGCCAGUAGGAGCGAUCGUCCUCGUCGACGAACCCGAAGCUGGCUUGAUGACAGCCGAUCUUGGACCCUCGGUUCCAGGAUGCCGGUCUUGACGGCAAUGGUGGGGCACCU
rfam:Alcaligenes sp. EGD-AK7 Contig10, whole genome shotgun sequence.